rnacentral:rRNA from 1 species
UACAGAGGGUGCGAGCGUUAAUCGGAAUUACUGGGCGUAAAGCGUGCGUAGACGGCUAUCUAAGUCGGGUGUGAAAGCCCCGGGCUCAACCUGGGAAUUGCAUUCGAGACUGAAUAGCUAGGGUACGGUAGAGGGAAGCGGAAUUUCCGGUGUAGCGGUGAAAUGCGUAGAUAUCGGAAGGAACAUCAGUGGCGAAAGCGGCUUCCUGGACCAGUACCGACGUUCAGGCACGAAAGCGUGGGGAGCAAACAGGAUUAGAAACCCGUGUAGUCC